GAGCCAGUGCUGAGUAUUCAACUGCCGGAAGCGGCCACGAGGGUCCGCUGGUCUCCUUCGCAGCCGGCGCUGCUGGCGGCGCUUCAGGGCGACGGCCGCCUUGGCUUCUACGACCUGCGUCGCACCACAUUUCCCAUGGCUGAGUUCGCACUGCGCGAUGAAGGUGGCGCCGGCACUAGCCUCGAGUACUGCGCGCACAGCCCAGACCUGCUCUUCGUUGGUCGCGGACCCGGCAACACGCAAGUCUGGCAGCUAGGUUCCAAGCUGGUGGCUGCAGGCGAAGUAAACCAGAGCGACGUCAUCAGGGAUGUGGCCAGUGGCACCUUUGCUUCCAAGUAGACCACGCUCCCGGGUGUACAGCUAUCACCCUAUACACAUGGCUGUACGCGCGUCUGUCCAGUGAAAUUCGUUCGCUCCUGAAAACGAAGCCGGAGCCGGUGCACCUCUAAUCGGGAUCGACGUUUCAUCAAGAACGUCAUGAAGUACAAAGAUGAUACGGCACUUUUGCCCCACAAGAGGCUAGAACAAUUAUCGAAAGGAAGGACUGCUAAAUGGAGAAAUAAAGGGCAAACCGCACUGU
rnacentral:lncRNA from 1 species